UGGGGAAUAUUGCACAAUGGGCGCAAGCCUGAUGCAGCCAUGCCGCGCGUGUGAAGAAGGCCUUCGGGUUGUAAAGCACUUUCAGCGGGGAGGAAGGCGUUAAGGUCAAUAACCUUGGCGAUUGACGUUACCCGCAGAAGAAGCACCGGCUAACUUCGUGCCAGCAGCCGCGGUAAUACGGAGGGUGCAAGCGUUAAUAGGAAUUACUGUGCGUAAAGCGCACGCAGGCGGUCUGUCAAGUCGGAUGUGAAACCCCCGGGCUCAACCUGGGAACUGCAUUCGAAACUGGCAGGCUAGAGUCUUGUAGAGGGGGGUAGAAUUCCAGGUGUAGCGGUGAAAUGCGUAGAGAUCUGGAGGAAUACCGGGGGCGAAGGCGGCCCCCUGGACAAAGACUGACGCUCAGGUGCGAAAGCGUGGGGAGCAAACAGG
rnacentral:rRNA from 1 species